CUUCUUUGAACAUGUCUGGUAGAAUUCAGCUGUGAUCCAUCCAGUCCUGGGCUUCUUUUGGUUGACUAUGGAAAUGAUGUUAGACAAAAAGCAAAUUCAACUUCAAAGUGGGUCUUAAAACAGCCAAGACAACUUGCAACAUCAACAACGCAUUUGUUCCACUGAGAAUGAACGUACAGUGCAGUGGUGGUUCAAGAAGUUUUGCAAGGGAGACAAGAGCCUUGAAGACAAGCAGCAUAGUGGCUGGCCAUGAGAAGUUGACGAUGACCAACUGAGAACAAUCAUCAAAGCUGAUCCCCUUAAAACUACACAAGAAGUUGCCAAAGAACUCAUCAUUGGCCAUUUGAAGCAAAUUGGAAAGGUGAAAAAUCACAAUAAGUGGGUGCCUAAUGAGCUGAGUGAAAAUUUUAAAAAAUCAUCAUUUUGAGUGUCAUCUUCUCUUAUUCUAUCCAACAACAAUGACCCAUUUCUCCGUUGGAUGAUGACAUGCGAUGAAAAAUGGAUUUUAUAUGACAAGCGGCAAUGACCAGCUCAGUGGCUGGAUCAAGAAGAAGUUUCAAAGCACUUCCCAAAGCCAAACUUGCACCAAGAAAAGGUCAUGAUCACUGUUUGGGGGUCUUCUGCCAGUCUGAUCCACUACAGCUUUCUGUAGUGGAUCAGGAGGCUGAAGGAGGAGAAUCACUUGAACCCAGGAGGUGGAGGUUGCAGUGAGCUGAGAUCGCACCAUUGGACUCCAUCCUUGGCAAAAAGAGCGAAACACCAUUAAAAAAAAAAUAGGAUGUAUUAUUCUUAUUAUUCUCCUAGUACCUUCUCUCCUUUGCUCAUCUUAAUUUCCUACUCCCUAUGCCAAACAAUGUUACCAACGGCAACAUAUUAGGUGAGUGCAAAAGUAAUAACUGUUUUUGCAUUCGUGGAAUCGUCAUUUGAUAUUGAAAUACAUUUUUGUAUUUCAUUGCCAGUUGUCAUCUAAAAUCCAUUUUUCAUCGCACAUCAUCAUCCAAUGGAGAAAUGGGUCGUUGUUGUUGGAUAGAAUAAGAGAAGAUGACACUCAAAAUGAUGGUUUCCCGGUGAAACCAUUACAUCUGAGAAGUAUGCUCAGAAAAUCGAUGAGAUGCAUCAAAAAUUGCAAUGCCUGCAGCCAGCGUUGGUCAACAAAAAGGGCCUAAUUCUCCACAUCAAUGCCCGACCACAUGUCGUAUAACCAAUGUUUCAAAAGUUGAAUGAAUUGGGCUAUGAAGUUUUGCCUCAUCCACCACAUUCACCUGACCUCUUGCCAAUCAACUACCACUUCUUCAAGCAUCUUGACAACUUUUUGCAGGGAAAGCACUUCCAUGACUAGCAGGAUCCAGAAAAUGCUUUCCAGGAGUUCAUCGAAUCCCAAAGCAUAAACUUUUAUACUACAGGAAUAAACAAACUUAUUUCUCGUUGGCAAACAUGUGUUGAUUGCAGUGGUUCCUAUUUUGAUUAACAAAGAUAUGUUUGAGCCUAGUUAUAAUGAUUUAAAAUUCAUAGUCCAAAACUGCAAUUACUUCUGUGCCAACAUAAUAAUAGCCAAAGCCAGAUUUAAGCCUCUUUCCUGAAACCCAGCCAAGAACUAGCCUCAUCACUUUGUAUUUUCUAGCUAGUGUCUCGAGGCUUCACAUUCAGAUGAUCCAGUGUGUGAAGUGGCAGGGUGCCAUUUUAAGCGAGAAUCUUCUUAUUCUGCCAGUGCCAUAAAAUUGCCUAUGAGAAACUGGGAAUGGAUACCCAACCUCAUCAACUAUGCAUUAAAGGAAUAAAGACAAUGAUGCAAGUUUAGAUGCCACCUCCACAAGUUUGCUCCUGAGGCUUUCCUAGGGUUACGCAAUUCUGGAUUGUGCCUACUUACCCACUGAAGAAAACCUUCAGGCAAGGAAGAAGAAAAAACUGGAUGCUUGGGGUGGGAAGCUGAGACCAUGCUGGAAACUGCCUUGAUGCAUAAACUAAGGUCAUUUGUUGAGGAAAAAGAGUUGUCUGACUUGUAGAAUUCCUC
rnacentral:lncRNA from 1 species